rnacentral:rRNA from 1 species
AUGGCCGCUCCGCCGCCGGUGCUCACCCUUGCGGUGGAGAAGGGUCCGCGCAAGGGAGAGAUCUGCCAGUGCAGCGCUGGAUCCGUGCUCCGUGUCGGGCGCGUCAUCAAAGGCAACCACUUUGCCGUGCGCGAUAAGGGCGCGUCGCAGCAACAUCUCUCCAUCGAGUUCCUCCCGCCGCCCGCCGCCGGAUGGGUCGUCUCCGAUCUGGGAUCCUCCAACGGCUCCUUCCUCAACGAUGUGCCCCUCGAGCCCUUUGUUCUCACCCCGCUUUCCCAUGGGAACCUGAUCAAGAUCGGCGAGUCCACCGUGCUCGCCGUGUCCAUCCCCUCCCAUUCGGAUCUGAGCACCGCCACCGCUGCCGACCCCGGAACUAGGCGCUCCUCGCGCUAUGCGGCGGAGACGGCGGCGGUGGAGGAGGAGAAGCCCCCUGCGGCGACCCGCCGGGGCACACGGAAGAAGGCAGCGGUGGCGGCGAUCCCCGAAGUGGAGAAUGAAGUGCCGGACGCGGCGGUAGUGGUAGUGGAGGAGGAGAAGCCCCGCCGGGGCGGACCUAGGAAGGUGGCUGCAGUGGCUCCCCCUGAACAGAGGGAAGAUGGGGAGAAGGAGGCCCCGGUGGGGAGGCGCCGUGGUGGACGGAAGAAGGUCGCGGAGCCCUCUGAACCGGAGAAGGAGGAGGCCCCGCUGGCGCCGCCUGUUGGCGGGCGGAAGAAGACCACAGCAGCUGCUGAGCCGGAGAAAGGAGAUGAGGAGGAGGAAGAGGGGAAGAAGGAGGCCCCGAAGGGGAGGCGCCGUGGUGGACGGAAGAAGGCCGCGGAGCCCUCUGAACCGGAGAAGGAGGAGGCCCCGCUGGCGCCGCGUGCUGGCGGGCGGAAGAAGACCACAGCAGCUGCUGAGUCGGAGAAAGGAGAUGAGGAGGAGGAAGCCCUGCUGGUGACGCGGAAGGAGGACACGGAGCCUCCUGAACUGGAGAAGGAAGACGAUGUGGAGGCCCAGAUGAUUACACGCCGUGGGAGGAGGAAGAAUGCUCCGACGGUCGCCCCUCCACCACAGCCUGUGAAGACGGGGUCCAGAGGGGGGCAUGGAAGGUUUACAAGAGCGGCUAGUACAAGGAAGGCCGUUCUAGAGGACGAGGAAGUGGAGGAAGAGGAGGAACAUGAGGUGGCUGUGCCAAGAGAUCAGCCUGGCAAUCUGUCGACUUCGACAGCGGUAAAGGAUGGUGAAGAGGAGGAGGAGGAGGAGGAGAAGGGGGAUAAGGUGGCAGCUGACGAUGGAGAAAUCGAGGUGGCUGCAAAGGCAUUGGAGGAGGAAGUCCCCAAGGGGAGGGCUUCUGCUCAGUGUGCUGCUUCUGACAAUGAGGGUGUUGGGGAAAGGGGUGGCGGAGAAGAGGAAGAUGAUGGCAAUGGGGAUUUGCUUGGCAGUAGAGGAGAGGCUUCUGCUCAGUGUGCUGCUUCUGACAAUGAGGGUGAUUGGGAAAUGGGUGGCGGAGAAGAGGAAGAUGAUGGCAAUGGGGAUUUGCUUGGAAGUAGAGGAGAUGUAGGAGAUGGGGCGAAGGUGGAGGAAUGUGCUGUUAGAAGCAGCCUUGAGACCAUGACAUUGCAGGAGUGGUUCGACCGGAUGGAAAAGUACCUCCCAAGGAUGAUCAACGAGGCUGCUGAUCAGAUGAUCGCGGAGUUGGAGGAGAAACAAAAGCGAGUCCAUGAGUACAUUUCAACGCUCAGUAAGAGCUCCGACCCUUCCUGA